rnacentral:rRNA from 1 species
UACGGAGGGGGCUAGCGUUGUUCGGAAUUACUGGGCGUAAAGCGCGCGUAGGCGGGCUGUUAAGUCGGGUGUGAAAUCCCGGGGCUCAACCCCGGAACUGCCUCCGAUACUGGCAGCCUAGAGGAAGGCAGAGGCUAGUGGAAUGGCGAGUGUAGAGGUGAAAUUCGUAGAUAUUCGCCGGAACACCAGUGGCGAAGGCGACUGGCUGGGCCUUUUCUGACGCUGAGGUGCGAAAGCGUGGGGACCAAACAGG